rnacentral:lncRNA from 1 species
CAGGCGUGAGCCACCGCGCCCAUCCUCUUCAGAUUUUUUAAUGCUGGCCUUGAAUUGGUUUUCCCGUUUUCUUCUCUCUGUUUUGAUUCCCUUCAUUCUUUAGUGUUUGGUCUCUGUGGAACAAGAGUUGUUCAUUCUGACUAUCCCAGACCUUGCAUCAGCCCUCCCAUGGCUUGAUGUUCCUGUUGUUUUCUUGAGCUCUCGAGUGAUCCGUUCUUGAGUGAGCUAUGACUUUGUCUCUUUCGUGCUUUUCCCUAGUAUUUGAAUCCUUUUAAUUAAGGUGUUUAUUGGAAAGGAUACUUUAAUAGUACUUUUUGUUUUUGUAACGCAAGUUUAUUAUGCUAAUGCUUUCAAACCAAUGUGUUCAAUAGAGAUGAAAAAAGAAAACUAAUUCCUCCAUAAGCAUGUUUAUUUUUUUUUCCUCACCUAAGACAAAGCUAAUGCUCUAAAAGGUUGUGAGUCUCCUUACUUAUGUCUUUACCCUUGGACAAGGUAAAACAAGUUAUAAUGGAGGGUGUUGUGGGUGUGACUGAUGUUUAUUAGUCCCUAGCAAAUUAGUAGAUGUUUUGUCUCCUGAUACCUCUGGCUUUGAUUCAUGUUUGCUCACUACAGAGGGGCCUCAUGGACUUUCAGGAUGGCACUCAUUCAUCGGAGAAAGCAUUGGAGAUUAGUACAUAAAUCUGUUGUAUUUAUUUUAUCAUUUGUUUGGUUUAAAACAUACUUUUCCUGAGGGAUAAAACGUCCUCCCUUUUUUCUGUGUUCUAAUUGGCAUCAGCUUCCGUGUAUUUCAAGGCAGCUGCUUAGUGAGGAAGCGCAGGGGGCGCUGAAGUCCAAACACACCCUCGCCUGCUCCCUGACUCCUCCACAAUAGAAGAGAGCAAUGACCAGUAGUUGGAGGCACUUUACUUUUUUAUAAAAUAAACUAAUGUAAACCCAGCUUUGGACACAUUGAAUAAUGACCCUUUUUCAGGCUCCAAAUGAACUGUCUGUUUAAACAGCUGGAUAUGUCAGGGAAAAAAAUCAAGUUUUAACUUUUAUUAGAUCUCUCCUGUUUAGUUCACACCAACUAUAUGUGUCUGUCAUGAUGAGAGUGCUUUAUACAGGGUGUGAGUGAGUAGUUACCUUUCUUCCUGCUGGAACAUUGGAGAGGACCGGGGCCCAGUGGCUGAGAGCUAAGGUCAGAGUUAGGCAGAGCUAGGUCUGAAGGCCACUUCUUCCACUUAGCCCCAAGCCUCAGUUUCCCCUCUGUGAAACAAGGAUAAUAAUACUAUAUACGUCACACUCACGGGACUAUAAGAGGCCACCUAUGGAGAAUAAUUAGCUGGGUGCUUGAUGCAAAACAAGCAUCAACCAACAAUAGCCACAAUGAUAUAGUUACCAUGUUUUUCAGUUUGAGUUCCCAGGUGGAUACCACUGAUAUUAGAUAACACUGAUAUUACACACCACUGGUAUCUGUAGAUACCACUGUGGUUAGCUAACAGUGAAUGUAGACACGACAGUGCUUCAUCAGGUAGACAUCAGACUUGGAACAUGCCUCCAUCUUUCUCCAACCAGAACCCCUGCGAGGGGGAAACAGAGCAAGUUAAAAUACUGCAAAGCUUUGCAUUUAGAAACCGGAAAACAGAUGCACAGAGCAGUCUGCCUCUGUGUAAAUGCACAUUGUAAUCAGUUUUCUAACGCUGCCUUUACAAGGAUGAGUUAAGUGGUUCGUUGACAUAUCAUUAUCACAUUCUGAAGAUAAACAGCCACAGGAUCUAUGAACUCUCAUCAGGCAGUUAAUUAUUCUUGAAUUUUUCUGCACUCUUGAAACAUAUUCUAUUUAUUUAACCGUCCCCUGGGAGCCCUGGUCGCCUUUGUCCCUGCCACACGGCCAGUGGUGUAAAACCUCUGCAUCUGUCAGAUUUCUCCAUGUGGAGCGUAAUUGCCUGAUUUCCAUUUGAAAGUACAGCCCUGACAUUAAAAUGACAUAGACCCACCAAUGAUAACAAUGGCUUCCUGACACCUACCAGAGGAGAGGGGGCGAGGGGGCAUAAUGCAGGAAUAAAUAAGUGCAUGAAUGAACGCUCGCCUUCACGGGGCCAGGUCUGAAUUUACAGCUGCAGAUGAAGUGUUCCUUGGGAGCAAACAAAAAGAAAGAAUGAAAGAAUAAAAGAAAAAGAAACCAAUAGAUUAGCAUCCGCGUGAGUCUGUUGGAGCCAGAUGGCUCUCUGUGGAGAGCGAGCUGGCCUGCUUUCUCCCAGUAACCCUGACCAGCAGACAGCAAGCCCGCUACACGGGGAGAGAAAUGAUCUCAUUCCUCAGCCGGGCACGUGAGCCGCCUUCUUUCUCUCACACACAACUCGAGCUGAAGGGGAGUUGGAAAAGAGAGAAAGGGUGAAAAAGAAAGGGCGGGGGAGAACGGGUGAUUGUAAAGAACAAGCAGGUCCUCGUAGCCCAGAGGAAGAGUGAGACUCCAGGCCUUGGCCAGCCCUGAGCGUCCAAGAACUGUCUCCAGAUGUCCACGAAGGAGAAGACAGGGAGACAGAGGGGACACCCGACACAUUGUUGUCUCCUCCACACACAUCCGUGAACUUCACCUCCACGAUCCAAUGUUGCCUGGAAGGCUUGAUGUGGAGAGGCUGAGAGGAGGGGCGCAGGCUGCUGUAGAGGCCAUGGGAUUAAGUUCUGUGCCCCACUGGAAAGGGGCAGUGAACAAUGUUUUCAAUUCUUCCUAAUGACAAUGUCUGCCUGUCUCUGUGGGCCACAGGCGAAUGAGUCUGUCAGUCCUCAGCCUGCAGGACCAGCCAUCUGCUGGGAUCCUGGUCUGCCAUGCUCCUGAACAGGUGCCUGAGAUGGAGGCAGCUGGAGUAAGGGGGCAGUCAAAUGAAACUGACAGGUUGUAGGUGUGGGAGGGCUCCUAUCCUUGAAGAUUCUGAGGCUGAGAGGGGCUUGGUCUGGGGUCAUUCUGCCUGCUCUGCUGAGCAAAGCAUUCACUGCUUGUAAACAAGUCUGUUGUCUGGAGUGACAGCCACACGUGGGGGUUGGUGGACAUCAGACAGACCACCAGAUGCUGGUGUUAGAGCCUAGCACUUGCAGAUGUGUGCAGAGGUGCAGGCCUCCUUCAAGUGAAUCUGCCCUCUUAGUGAGUGUUCACACACCCAGCUUGGUACCAGGGCUCCUGAGGCCUCCAACCCAGAGAAGCAGACUAAGAGAGAAUGAAGGUGCCCGUGCGAGUGAGUGCUGGGGGCUCACAGAGCACUUCAUCAGCCUGGCUAGGUUGCUUGGGCACCUGAAGCUUGUCUCCAGCAGUGUUUACUCAAAAGAAUAAAUAGUUUCCAGGGUGACACCAAAUGCGGGGAGAUGUAGUCAUUCCUUUAAAGCUGGAAACUAUUAUUUUACUCCUAAUAAAUAUUGAGCAAAAUUCUCUUCAUUUUCAGCCCAGGAUGAGAGCACCUGCUUCACAAUUCCUGGCAGUUGUCGGUACAAAUGAACAUUAAGCUGGCAUAUUCUAUCAGGGCCAAGGAAGCAAAGCAAGCUGCCAGCUGGGGGCUAAAACCACAGGCUCUGGCUUUUCUUCUUUCUAAAAAUGAAACAGAAAGCCACCACCCCACCAACUGUUUUGCUCUUUAUCUCCCAGGCAAUGCUACCACAUAACAGGGUUCCUCGUUCUGUAUGGGAUUCUCACUCACAGCAGAGCUAAGGAUUUCAAAGGAAACCGUAUCACUAAAGUAACAAGAGCGUGAGCUCCAACAUCGUUCCUUGCCUCCACUUAAGCAGGGAGAUCAGUCACUCAAUAGGAGCAUUUAAGAAAAUUUUAAAAUGCUAGCAUUUAAGGAGCACUUACCAAAGUGUCGGCCCUGCCUCUAAGCGUUUUGUGGACAUCUCAGGUAAUCUUCAUGACAACCCUAUGCAGCAGGUUCUCUGAUUACCCUUAUUUUACAAAUAGGAUGCCAAGUCCCAGAGAUGUUAAGCAACUUUGCCAAAGUUGCACAGCUAGUCCCGGGUCCAUACCACCAGGCUUUCCCACCUCUUUUGAUGGUGUAAUAACUGAGCUUUAGGCUCCCUAUUUUGGCUGCUCACCAGUGGUGCCAUCUUGGGCUACUAAGUCUCCCUGAGUUCCCAUUUCCUUGUCUGUCAAGUAAGGACUGGAAUAGUGGUCUUAUAGGGUUGCUGUCAGGAGCAGAAGUAAUGUGUAACAUACAUGCAUGCAGGGCCAGUGCCCGGCACAUGUUUGAGGCUCCAUAAAUGUUAGUACAGAUGGUCCCCUGAUGGUUUGAUUUAACAGUUUUUCAACUCUACAGUGGGUUUGUUGGGAAGUAAUCCUGUCGUGUGUCAAGGAGCAUCUGAGUUAAGCUAGUUUGAUUUACAGUUUCAACUUUACCAUGGGUUUAUCAGGAUAUAAACAUUUUAUCAGGAUAUAAACCUGAUGCAUUUUUGUAUUUUCAGCUUACAAUGGGUUUAUCUGGACAGAACCCUCAUCGUAAGUGGAGGAGCAUCUGUGGUUAUUACUACUGUAAGCAUUGUCAUUAUCUUUGUGCUCUUAGAUUUCACUGAAUUCUCACACGCACACAUGCACACAUAAAACUAUGAGGUAGGUGGGGCAGCUGUCACUAACCCCAUUUUAUAGCUGGUGUAUCAGGUGGUAAAGCUUGGGCAAGAACCCCCAUCUCUUGACUCUGCACUUUGUCUAAUCUGAGCUUGCUGUUUCCCGCUGGACUGCAGGUCACACCUGUCCAUUUCUAGACACCAAACACAGUUGCUGUCUAGAAAGAUUGCAGCAAGGAAUUCAACCCUUGUCACUUUCCCUUUGUCUCCAGGCCCUGGGAUUGGCUGAAGACAGAGCCAGGUCCUGCCUGUGCCCUCCUGGGAAUUGCUGAGACAGUUAAUGCCUCUUGGGACAAGUAAGAGUGAACAGAGAACAGACAGAAAGGACAAUCAGCUAGGACUGUGCUGAGAAAAUGAACUGAAACAGCACAGUGAAAGUUGGACAAGCCAAACCUGACUCCAUCAAUUUGGGUUGAUGCCUCUGACAAUUCAAACAAGACUUGGUCAGCGCAGAACUGCAAGGCUGUCUUGGAAUUUUCACACAUAUAUGUUUGACAUUCUACUCCAAUUCAGUUCCACAAUCCAGAUGCUGGAAGAAUUUUGUUUACUUGAGAUGGAUUCUCGUCCAUCAUCUUUCGCUCCCACAAAACCAUUGUUCACAACCCCCAAGGACUGCCUAUGAGUACCAUCAUUUUGUUACAGUUAAUGCUCAUUGUUGUGCACAGUUGGGAAAUGUAGCCUUCUGGUUAAUUACAUUUUCCAAUUAAUAGAAAUUACAAGGUACAUCUUCCAUGUGUUGCUGACAUCUAGACACCUGGGAUACUCUAAGCACCAAAGCUAACUUGAACAAGUUUAGUCUUUCUUGGAAAAUUUAGAGGAAACUUCAGGACUCAUGGAACAUCAAGGGUACCAAAGUGUGUUGUAGAUGUGGGUAGUAUAAGAUAAUUGGGAUUUUCAUUUGGUACAAUGUAAAAGUGGUUUGGGGGUAUGUAAUAGCACAAGUCACAUGGGAAAUAAGGGUACCAUGUGAAGCACAUUAUAUCUUUUUAAAAUUAUCCUCCUCAGUAUUAUUAAGUGUUUAAAUG